rnacentral:rRNA from 1 species
GACGAACGCUGGCGGCGUGCUUAACACAUGCAAGUCGAACGAGUGGGGAACGGGUGAGUAACAAGGGGGUGAGCAUCCCAGCACUUCGGGAUAAGCCUGGGAAAAUGGGUCUAAUACCGGAUAGUGGAGGAUGGGCCCGCGGCCUAUCAGCUUGUUGGUGGGGAAAUGGCUACCAAGGCGAGAUGGGUAGCCGGCCUGAGAGGGUGGGCGGCCACAUUGGGACUGAGACACGGCCCAGAGUCCUACGGGAGGCAGCAGUGGGGAAUAUUGCACAAUGGGCGCAAGCCUGAUGCAGCCAUGCCGCGUGUAUGAAGAAGGCCUUAGGGUUGUAAAGUACUUUCAGCGGGGAGGCGUUACCAGCAGAAGAAGCACCGGCUAACUCCGUGCCAGCAGCCGCGGUAAUAC